rfam:Picea glauca, whole genome shotgun sequence.
AUUUACAUUCCUACAACAUAGCAUUAAUGCAUCGGAUCCCAUUAGAACUCCGCAGUUAAGCUCCCUCGGGCUAGAGUAGUAUUGGGAUGGGUGAUCGCUCGGGAAAUCCUAGUGUUUUACAUG